UGUUAUCUGCAUUAGCUGCUGCCCACUGGGCGAGAUAAUGCGCGUCUUUGCUGUGUCAAGGUACCAUACUUCUUUUCCUUGUGUCUUGCUUCAAGCUUCCACUGCCAGCACCAGCCCUUCACUCUUUCCUUCUAAAUUUCUCAAGCUUAGCUCGCAAACUACUUCUUCUGCAUCUCUGAUAUACCUUCUUUCUCAGUCCAGGCCCAGCCCCCACUGUUCCAACACAGAUCCUGAUUCAUUGGAUGAAUAUUACGACGAUGAUGAUAAUGAAUAUUACGACGAUGAUGAUGGUUACUCGUUUGUAGGUGAGGAUGGGAUUUUUAUUGAGAUAAAGAAGCUUGGAACUAACUCCAGGAGAAUUCGGUCCAAGAUUGCUGUAAACGCCAGUUUGGAUACCAUUUGGAACAUUCUGACGGAUUAUGAGAAAUUGGCUGAUUUUAUUCCUGGUCUUGCCGUUAGCAAAUUAAUUGACAAGAAAGACAAAUUCGCUCGACUUUACCAGAUUGGACAGCAAAACUUGCCGUUUGGGCUGAAAUUUAAUGCCAAAGCUAUUUUGGAUUGUUUCGAGAAAGAUAUUGAGACUUUUGCUUCUGGGAAAAAGCGGGAUAUUGAAUUUAAGAUGGCUGAAGGUGACUUCCAAUUUUUCGAAGGAAAGUGGUCUAUUGAACAGGUGAGAAUUGGUUGUAUAUAGAAUUGCACAAACUAUACUUCUAUCUUGUUUGAAAAUUUCGGGUUUCUUGGACCACAACUCAAGAUAUAAAUUUAAUAAGAUCACAAUUGUUCUACCAGUGAUGACUUCUGAAUUUGCAUUAUUAAGCAGCAAUAGGAUUGCAAAAUCUCCCUUUACUUGCUUGAAAUUUGAUACCAUAUUUUAAAAUGCUGAUUAUGAUAUCAAUUUACCUUGCUUGCUGUCGAUGAUACUUGUAAAAAUAGGCUUGUAUUUUCUUACUUCCCAUGAAAAGAUUAUUGUAGAUACUGGAUAUGGCAUACACUUUUAGAUCAUUUACUAUCUUAUUUGGACAUGCUUGAAUGUGUGGGAGUCCAAAGUCCCAUGUUAAGAGGAAAUGUGGAAAAGUGGAAUAUGUAUGCAUCAAAACCCCGUGCCUAAUGAUUCUAGGUUUACGUUUGUUGUCUGACACAUAUACUGACCUUCACAUGGUGAGUUCUCCCCAACAUAUUAUACAAUCAGAGGAUUCUGCCCAGUCGGCAAAGUUUUAACCACAAUAAAAUAUGUUUUAGAUGAAGAGUAAACAAUUUUGUCACCAGCGAGACGCAUGGUUUACAUGAAUGGGGCACAUCAUGAAUACAUUAGCAGAUUUUUUUAGUGUGAAAGUUUGUUCUUAAGUUUAUAUUUUUCUUAUUGCUUGCUCAACUCAAGUUCUUAGUUUCUUAAUUAUUGGGUAUAAGAACUUUAUUAUUAUUUUUUUUUCAAUUCAGCCUUAUGAAUGUGUAUCUGCUAUCAAUUUUCAAUAAUUCAUUUCUGGUCAUUGCUUUGCCCAUGUUCUUUUUGGCCUUGUUUGUAUAUAUGUUCACUCUCCAUAUAUAUUCAUUUUAACAUUUUACUGGGCUCUGUUGCAAUUGGCUGAGCCACGUAAUAGGGCUUCUCACCAUAAUAUUCUCAAAUUAAUUCUUACUUUAUCACUAAUGCAUUCAAAUCCCACUUUUACUUAUAUAAGAAAUAAUCUCUCAUUACUUACAUGUAAAAUGUCUUUGUUGAAACUCCAGCAUGACAAGUAUGAAGUGUUUUAUUCUUUUGGAAAUUUGACCUGUGGAAGGUGCAUUACCUUAAACAUUAAAAUAAUUCAAGCAUUCAGGCCAGCAUCAUGCAGGUGGAUGUAAUGUUGCCUUCAUUGCUUCCUUCAAAACCCUGGGUUUUGCCUAAUCUAAGGCCACUAUUGAUGACUAGUUAACUAUUGAUAUCAAGUUACAUCUUUGAAGAGGUUUGCCUUGAUAUCUUUGAGCGGGAUUUAUUGUUCUUUAAUGCUAUGCCUGAUGAUCAUAAUUAUGAUGAGUAAUGCAGGUCGAUAAACCAAGACCCGAAGACGGUGAUUUCUCACUUGCUCAAGAAUUUGAAACAACUCUUUCAUAUUUUGUGGAUGUAAAGCCUAAGUUAUGGCUGCCUGUUCACCUAGUUGAAGGCAGACUCUGCAAGGGGAUACGGACAAACCUCUCAUGUAUCCGUGAAGAAGCACAAAAAGUGAUUCACAACACUCUGAAUACUCAAUAGCGUCAUUUACUUGACCAAAUAAUUGAUGCAGUGUACCUGUAUCAGGUGUAUUUCAUUUAUGAUUUCAUCUUGUAAAUUAUGAUAGAACAAAUAAUGCAAUUUUCUUGUCAUUUCUAGUGAUAUUAGGCUCAAAUGCCCCGUUGUCAAUGAGAGAACAGGAGAUGUAAGAAAAAUCCGAGUGAAAUUACAUACAUCUACCUUGUAUGAUCUGUAGUUCAUUUAGCGGGAUUCAGGAAUAGUGAUGGUGAUGUUUUUGAGCUGAGGCAGCCUUGUGGGUUAGUUCUACAGUUAUCCUUUUUAAGUAUGUCCUAGCAAUUUAUAAUCAUGGUGUCCCCUCCUUAACUAGAUGGAACCCUGCACGAUUAUCCUGCCACGGCAUACAAGUGAAAAUCUACUUGGUUUAGGC
rnacentral:misc_RNA from 1 species